CCUACGGGAGGCAGCAGUGGGGAAUUUUGGACAAUGGGCGAAAGCCUGAUCCAGCCAUGCCGCGUGCAGGAUGAGGGCCUUCGGGUUGUAAACUGCUUUUGUACGGAACGAAAAGUCUCUUUCUAAUAAAGAGGGAUCAUGACGGUACCGUAAGAAUAAGCACCGGCUAACUACGUGCCAGCAGCCGCGGUAAUACGUAGGGUGCAAGCGUUAAUCGGAAUUACUGGGCGUAAAGCGUGCGCAGGCGGUUAUAUAAGACAGUUGUGAAAUCCCCGGGCUCAACCUGGGAACUGCAUCUGUGACUGUAUAGCUAGAGUACGGUAGAGGGGGAUGGAAUUCCGCGUGUAGCAGUGAAAUGCGUAGAUAUGCGGAGGAACACCGAUGGCGAAGGCAAUCCCCUGGACCUGUACUGACGCUCAUGCACGAAAGCGUGGGGAGCAAACAGGAUUAGAUACCCUGGUAGUCCACGCCCUAAACGAUGUCAACUGGUUGUUGGGAAUUCACUUUCUCAGUAACCGAAGCUAACGCGUGAAGUUGACCGCCUGGGGAUACGGCCGCAAGGUUGAAACUCAAAUGAAUUGACCGGNNGAGAGNGCGACGACGACGACGAGGGAGGAGG
rnacentral:rRNA from 1 species